rnacentral:rRNA from 1 species
UACGUAGGAGGCGAGCGUUGUCCGGAGUUACUGGGCGUAAAGGGUGCGCAGGCGGCGGUUCGCGUGGAUAGAUGAAAUCUCCUGGCUUACCUGGGAGGAUGGUAUCAAGACGGGAUCGCUUGAGGGUCGGAGAGGGGCGUGGAAUUCCGGGUGGAGCGGUGAAAUGCGUAGAGAUCCGGAGGAACACCGACGGCGUAGGCAGCGCCCUGGACGACACCUGACGCUGAGGCACGAAGGCCAGGGGAGCAAACGGG